rnacentral:rRNA from 1 species
GACGAACUGUCCAAACGUUGUUCAGAAUCACUGGGCUUAAAGGGCGCGUAGGCGGUCAAACAAGUCAGGGGUGAAAUCCUGCAGCUCAACUGUAGAAGUGCCUCUGAUACUGUUUGCCUAGAGGGAGAUAGGGGUGUGCGGAACUUCCAGUGGAGCGGUGAAAUGCGUUGAUAUUGGAAGGAACGCCGGAGGCGAAAGCGGCGCACUGGAUCUCUUCUGACGCUGAGGCGCGAAAGCUAGGGGAGCAAACGGG